GCAGCCGUGGCCCACUGGUUAGCGCUUCGGACUUGUAACCGGAGGGUGGCCGGUUCGAACCCCGGUAGGCACCA
rnacentral:tRNA from 1 species